GCAGAUCGCAUGAUCAGCUUUUUAAAAGGCGGCGUAAAGCUGUCGCUAUGGGGAUGGGCCCCGCGGUGCAUUAGCUAGUUGGUAAGGUAAAGGCGUUUACCAAGGGCGAUGAUGCAUAGCCCGAGUUGAGAGACUGAUCGGCCACAUUGGGGACUGAGACACGGGCCCAAACUCCUACGGGAGGCAGCAGUAGGGAAUCUUCCACAAUGGACGCAAGUCUGAUGGAGCAAACGCCGCGUGAGUGAAGAAGGUUUUCGGAUCGUAAAGCUCUGUUGUUGGUGAAGAAGGAUAGAGGUAGUAACUGGCCCUUUAUUUGACGGUAAUCAACCAGAAAGUCACGGGCUAACUACGUGCCAGCAGCCGCGGUAAAAU
rnacentral:rRNA from 1 species